AGUCAAAGGGUGUUAAAACCUUGCGGCGAAAUGAAAGUGAAGGUCAGUCUUGAAUUGGCCGACGUGGGAUCGGUGCUCCUCGGAGUGCUGCGCACCACGGCCCUGUGCGUGUCACUUGUGACUGUGCAGAGGUUGAGCAGUUGGCAAACGACCCGAAAGAUGGUGAACUAUGCCUGAGCAGGAUGAAGCCAGAGGAAACUCUGGUGGAAGUCCGUAUCGGUUCUGACGUGCAAAUCGAUCGAUAGACUUGGGUAUAGGGGCGAAAGACUAAUCGAACCAUCUAGUAGCUGGUUCCUUCCGAAGUUUCCCUCAGGAUAGCUGGAUCUCCGGCAGUUAUAUUCGGUAAAGCUAAUGAUUAGAGGCCUUGGGGACGUAAUGUCCUCAACCUAUUCUCAAACUUUCAAUGGAUAUGAAGUUGCAGUUUCUUUAGUGAACUGUCAACGUGAAUGCGAGGUCCAAGUGGGCCAUUUUUGGUAAGCAGAACUGGCGCUGUGGGAUGAACCAAACGUGGAGUUAAGGUGCCUAACUUCUCGCUCAUGAGACCCCAUAAAAGGUGUUGGUUGAUAUUGACAGCAGGACGGUGGCCAUGGAAGUCGGUAUCCGCUAAGGAGUGUGUAACAACUCACCUGCCGAAUCAACUAGCCCUGAAAAUGGAUGGCGCUUAAGCGAGAGACCUAUACUCCGCCGUUGCGGCAUGUGCGUUGUCUAGCGCCAGGCCGUAACGAGUAGGAAGGUCGUGGCGGUUGCUUUGAAGGCUAUGAGCGUGGGCUCGGCUGGAGCUUCCGUCAGUGCAGAUCGUAAUGGUAGUAGCAAAUAUUCAAGUUCGAUCCUUGAAGACUGAAGUGGAGAAGGGUUCCACGUGAACAGUAGUUGGAUGUGGGUCAGUCGAUCCUAAGGUACUGGCGAACGCCUUGUAUCAUCGGUGGCGAAAAGCUUGCUUUUGGUCCCCGUUUGUCGAAAGGGAAUAGGGUUAAUAUUCCCUAACUGAGAUGCAAAGAUUGUGUUCUUCGGAGCACAAGCGCGGUAACGCAUUCGAACUUGGUUAGUCGCUCAAAGACCGAGCUAGAGUUUUCUUCUCUAGUUAAGGAACGGACUCCCUGGAAUUGGUUCAGCCAGAGAUGGGGACGUUGUUUCCGAAAAGCACCGCGGUUUCUGUGGUGUCUCGUGCUCUUUGAACGGCCCUUAAAACACCAAGGGAGGCUAUUAAUUUGCACUCAAUCGUACCGAUAUCCGCAUUAGGUCUCCAAGGUGAACAGCCUCUAGUCGAUAGAAUAAUGUAGGUAAGGGAAGUCGGCAAACUAGAUCCGUAACUUCGGGAAAAGGAUUGGCUCCAGUGGUUGGAACGAUUGGCCAGUUGGUUGAUGCUUGUCCGGCGCUAUUCUGUCUGCUUGAUGCUUUCGGGCUGAUGGCGGACUAGUGAUAGUGCUUGCUUGUGGACGCUUUCUGGUGUGUGCUAGGACCUCGGUUCUAGUAUCCUGAUCGCUCAUCUAAACAACCGUACUGGAACCGGUACGGACUCAGGGAAUCCGACUGUCUAAUUAAAACAGAGGUGACAGAUGGUCCUUGCGGACGCUGACUGUCACUGAUUUCUGCCCAGUGCUCUGAAUGUUAAAUCGUAGUAAUUCGAGUAAGCGCGGGUAAACGGCGGGAGUAACUAUGACUCUCUUAAGGUAGCCAAAUGCCUCGUCAUUUAAUUGUUGACGCGCAUGAAUGGAUUAACGAGAUUCCUACUGUCCCUAACUACUAUCUAGCGAAACCACAGCCAACUACUGUUCACGUGGAACCCUUCUCCACUUCAGUCUUCAAGGAUCGA
rnacentral:rRNA from 1 species